AGAGCGAACGCUGGCGGCAGGCUUAACACAUGCAAGUCGAGCGGGCGUAGCAAUACGUCAGCGGCAGACGGGUGAGUAACGCGUGGGAACAUACCUUUUGGUUCGGAACAACACAGGGAAACUUGUGCUAAUACCGGAUAAGCCCUUACGGGGAAAGAUUUAUCGCCGAAAGAUUGGCCCGCGUCUGAUUAGCUAGUUGGUGAGGUAACGGCUCACCAAGGCGACGAUCAGUAGCUGGUCUGAGAGGAUGAUCAGCCACAUUGGGACUGAGACACGGCCCAAACUCCUACGGGAGGCAGCAGUGGGAUAUUGGACAAUGGGCGCAAGCCUGAUCCAGCCAUGCCGCGUGAGUGAUGAAGGCCCUAGGGUUGUAAAGCUCUUUUGUGCGGGAAGAUAAUGACGGUACCGCAAGAAUAAGCCCCGGCUAACUUCGCGCCAGCAGCCGC
rnacentral:rRNA from 1 species